GUGCUUAUUUCAGCAGCACAUAUAGUAAAAUUGGAAUGAUACAGACAAUUAGCAUGGCCCCUGCACAAGGAUGAUACACAAAUUUCUGAAGCAUUUCAUAUUUUU